UCGAUCAAAAUAUAUACAUAGAAGUGAUAGAUCCAACGAAACUACUGGUGAACAAUUGAGAUCAUGUGAUCGAUAGCAGCGAUGUUCUACUUAGACAGAACUGUGUGAAGCUUUUUGAAAUGACAGCUUCAAAGACGACCGUAAAACUGAUUUGUCAGGGCGGCAACCGAUUUUGUCCACAGGGGAUGGACUUCCUGGCCGAGAACAGCCCCUGUGGGCAAACUCUACUUAGAAUCGUGUCGCAGGGUCACACCAUCAUUGCCAAAUUGACUCGACUCUCAUCAAUGAUACCUUCGCAACUGAGCGAUGAUCGAUAUUCCGACAUUCUACUGGAUUUCAGUUACUUCAAAAACAUCGACGCGUUCGAAAAGCGGCUUGACAAUGAGCCGCGAAUAGCCGAAAUGGACGAGGUAUUUAAAGAAAAUCAUCUUGAGUCAUUGUCGAAGUUAUAUCUUGCAUUCGAGUGUGUUUAUAGUUAUACCGUUGAAUUAAAUCAGUUUCUCGAGGAGCUCAACGAAGGAGUCUACAUGCAACAGAGUCUCGAAUCCGUUCUCGACAACGUUGACGGCAAACAGUUGCUUGCCGAAGCAUUGUAUAUAUGCGGUGUGAUAUUAUUGUUCAUUGACGAAAAGUUCGAGGGAACGGUUCGUGAACGAAUACUUGUACUGUAUUAUCGGUAUUCAGCGCAGAAGUCCAACAUCGACUCAAACAUGGAUGACGUGUGCAAACUUCUUCGCUCGACGGGAUACGUGGCUCGAAGCAAAACGCGUCCUGCUGGUUAUCCCGAGGACUACUUCAAGAGAGCAGGUGUUGAUCUAGGCUUCGUUGUAUUGCUCUUGGGCCGCCUGCGCUCCGAUGACAUCUACAAUCAGAUCCCGUUGUAUCCGCAGCCGGAACAUCGUAGUGUGGCGCUGGCGAACCAGGCGGCGCUGAUCUACAUUGCACUAUUUUUCUAUCCAAAGAUCCUCCAUGGCGAGCCAGCCAUCAUGCGCGAGAUUGUAGAUCGGUACUUCCCUGACAACUGGGUGAUAGCCACUUACAUGGGCAAUGUCGUGAACUUAAUCGAUGCCUGGGAGCCGUACAGGGCAGCAAAGGCGGCCUUGCAAAACGUCCAAGAUUUGAAGGCCGUUCAGACGCGUUGUGAAAAAAUGCACAGGCAAGUUGAAGAGCUGUUAGCUCAAACCGAGCAGCUUCUCAACGAGGGUGUACCCACUUACGAACUGGUACUCGACGAAGUGCAAAAGCUAUUGGCUGCUGCAAGAAUGCGGAACGUGGUUCUUCGUUGGCUACUGUUGCAUACGGCCAUGGUUCCGGACACGGUUACGAAGCGGGCCCGCCAGCUGCGCGAUAUCGUCCUGCAAAAGCACGACGUGCUCCAACUGUUCAAGCUGUUGCUGGUCACAGCGGAAUUCGAACACAAAUUUAGGGAAAUCUAUCGGGAGCUGUUGCGGCAGAAGAAUGCUAAAUGGGAAUUCUUUAAAAAAGAGAGUAAUGAAAGACUUCAGGAGCUCUCUGAAGUCUACUCUGGUAGUAAGCCACUUAACCGGAUUGAAAAGAACGAGCAACUGCAGGGAUGGUUCGAGGCAACCGUUGAGCAGGUUACCAAUCUUAGCCAUGAAAGUCCAGUUGCUGAUAGCAGAAAGAUCGUUCAACUGAUCGACGCGCUGAACAAAGUUAAACAGUAUCAUCAAAUAGAAGGUUGUAUUCAAGUGAGGCAAUUUGUCGAUGAAAGCCGGCAAUUUCUGCACUGUAUGCUACGCCUGCUGUCGGUCAAUGUUGAACUAUUGACGAAAUUGGAUGUAAUUGUAGAUGUUUCGUACGCUUGGAUACUAAUUGAUGCCUAUACAGCCCAUAUGCAACGCAGCAUAAAAGAGAAUCCUGGAACAGUUGUGAAACUGAGGACGAUUUUCCUAAAGCUGGCAUCGGCUCUUGAUCUGCCCCUUAGGCGCAUCGUCCAGGCAAGAUCACAAGAUGUGGAAGCCGUAUCUGCCUUCUACUCACAGGAGCUAGUCAGUUAUAUACGACGGGUGUUUCAUAUUAUUCCCGAGACGAUGUUUUCUCUGCUGGCUCGUAUUAUCAAAAUUCAAACAAGCCACCUUCAACAACUGCCUCCGCGUCUAAUGAAAGACCAGUUAAAACACUUCGCCCAGAUCGAUGAGCGUGUCGAAGUUGCUAAGCUGUCCCACGACAUCAGCGUUUUCACUGAUGGAGUCCUUGAGAUGAAAACCACAUUGGUCGGUAUCGUCGAGAUUGAUCCGAAACAAUUACUUGAGGACGGAAUUCGAAAGGAGUUGGUUAAUCAGCUUAGUCUGUCGUUGCACAAUGGUUUGACGUUCUCGUUGAAGCCGAAGCCGGGCGAAAUGAUGGAAAAGUUGAGUGCUCUCUCCAACAUUAUAAGCCGAUAUUAUCGAUCGUUCGAAUACGUCCAGGACUACAUCGGCAUCAGGGGCCUGAAGAUGUUUCAGGAGGAGUUUGCACGUAUAGUCAACUACAAUGUCGAGCAAGAGUGUAACAUGUACCUCCGGCAGCAGAUACACGACUGGGAAUCGGAGUAUCAAUCACGGGAAAUUCCUAUCCCGAAGCAUCCCCCGAUUGACGGGACAGCUGCGAAUUUUGUCGGGCGUUUGGCAAACGAACUUUUCCGCUUAACCGAUCCAAAGUCGACGAUCUAUGUCGACUCGCUGUGCACCUGGUACGAUCGAAUAACGCACAGGAAAGUCAUUAUCCUGACAGAAUUUUCGCUACUACUUCGGGCGGUAGGAGUCGUCGGCAUGGUUGGAUUAGAUAGGGUGUACUCGUUUCGAAUUGCUACUGAACUUAAGAAUAUGACUGAUUCACUGGCGAAAACCCUUGACACACAGAUCUGGGUAGAGGGAUUGGGCGCGGUGCAACGGACUAUGAAGAAAACUCAGCCCGAGGCUAUGGCAAAGCUGUGGGCGUCAUCGGCUGCAAAAAUUGCCAAAGUCUACCCGAAUUUGGUCGCAGCGUUAAUGCGUGUCGGACAGAUGAUUCUUCUCCGACGCCAUAUCGGUCAUGAGCUUUACAAGAAUGCAAAAUUCAACGGGAAAAAUUUAUCUGCCGCUCUGACAAACCUAAACGAUGCGAUAAUGUUGCAACUGCCUGAACGGACACAGCCAGCUGACAACGAAUUUAUUGAUCGACUUUCCAACUACCUUAAAUAUACUGGACUAUACGAGCCGGUUCGACAGAUCUACAAUGAGCAACCAGCGCACCCGAUUCCGAAUCUGGCCAUGUUCAUGGCACUUUUCACCACCACAUGUAUGCCGAAGUUUGCUUAUUCUCGAACGGUUGGCUGCCUCACAGCCAGAAGCAAACAAACGAUAGAUUGUGUCCCCUUCACGUUGGGCGUUUUUGUGUUUCUUGCACAAUUUCAUUUAGACUACAGCGAAGAUUAUGUAGGCCUACUCUGUCAAUACCUAAAAACAUGCGCCUUACCACUGAUAGCGGUUGGCCGAAGCGACCCGGACCUCACCAGCCUGUUAACAUUUCUCGACUACGCCAGCGUUGAACUACACUGCAUCGAUAGGCAAUUGCUGUGUAAGCAUUUACCAGAGUUUGUUCUUACGCAGUACAAAAAUUUGCUCAUCCUCUAAGGUCCAGGCGAGGUUUAAGUUGAGGGAUUUGCCCUUGAAUGAGAAGGAAUGGACACGUAUUGACGAAGACUAUGAACAUGAUUAACUCGCUAACUCGUUGAUUUUAUAACAGAUAAUACUGGCACCCCUGGCAGAACUCGAUAGAUGAAAAGUGAAAACAAAGGAGAGGCAGGCGAAAAGCUAUCUAAGUGAUUAAAAAGGUGCUAUGCCGCCGGUCAAGCUGGGAUAUAGGGAACAAGACAGGGGCGGUUGCAAUCGUGUAUAGGUGCAUACCUACGAGGGAAAUCAGGUUACAGCUAUAAUAUGAUCUACAACAAGUUGUGCAGUAGUGUUUUGAAUGACACUGAAAUAUAGAUAUAUGGAAAAAUCGCAUGACAGAGAGAAAACGAGAGGCUAUAAAGACACGCUGCUAAAUCGAAAUCAUGAAGUUGUCGACCUAUUUCGUUGGGACUCUCGAGAGGGUACGACGGCCAACUCGGUGAUGGACCCCUGUGUGUCCUUGCACAGUGUGAUUUUACGGAAAUUUAAAUAAUUUACAGUAACUUGACAGGAGCGACAAGCGAAUUAAUAUUUUUAUAACUGUUACAAGUAAACGGCACUAUAUAUAUAUGGGAGUUCUGAAGAAAUAACGUUUGCUUUAAUCGCUCUCGUGCAUGCUUUACCUAAGUUUAUUGAGCAAGAAGUUUGAUGUGACGUUAUAUACUAUGAAUAAACACACGUAUUUUAUUACAAUUGCAGUAGAUUCAAUUAUGUACGCUAUUCGAAACCCAAAAUCAACCAUAAAUGUUUGAAGGAAAAAUGAGCGUGUUUUUAAUCACAUUACUUAAUUAACAUUGACAAAAUCAGCACACGCCCAUUGCUGCUUCAAAUUCUAGUGUAUGUUGAUAAAUCAAGCACGACCCACAAACGCUGGACUUUAAUUUGAAUAAACUCCAUGAUGCUGGCCAAGGAUUUGGUUACACAAUAAAGACAU